ensembl:lncRNA
CUCUACAAUAUUAUUUGACACAAAUCUAUCUAAAUCAAAAUUUUAAUAAUUUUCACGCCAAUCAUUUACUGGACUGAUUUAAAUAUUAAAAUCACUCCUUUCUAAUCCUCUGCUGUACGUUCAAACCUGAGGCCUUAAAUAGAAACACACAAGUAUCUGAUUGAAGGAACUUCUGCAGAGUCCUGGUUCCAGAACAUGAUGAUAGAAUUAUAGACAAACUUUAACAAAAGCUGCCUGAGAGUUUACAGGUUUUUAUGUUGGAUUUCUUCAGUAAUUUAAUGAGAGUUAUCAGCAAUAAUCAAGUGUUCAUUUGAUGAACUUCAUUUCCUAAGACAUCCAGAAUUGGAGCUCAUAUCUUUGGCAGCUGUAAAGUUUCUGCUCCUUCAAAGUUCACAACACAAUGAAUGAAUUCCUAAAACACUCUAGAUGCUGGAGAGCGUUUGAUGCUGAAGCAGUGAUCAGUUUUUCUGUUUCUUCUCUGGAGAUGCACAAUGAGGGACGUCUGCAGCGACUGAGAAAGAGUCUCACCACAUCCUGACAUGAGGAAAAAGACUUUACUGAAGACUACAAUGAGGAAAACUAUCAGACAGCAGAUGGCUGCAUUCAAGAGAGGAAGACCAUCAAACAUCCACGUCAGCUGAUGGAGGUCCAAGAGUCUCACCAAACAAACAACCUACAGAGUGAAGACCUCAAAUCUGAUUGGACGGCCUCCUAUUCAGCCACGUUUUAGGCUGUUAGAUUGUUCCAGAUAAGACAAGUACAAGAUUCUUCAGAGCCGUUCUACCACGAGCCUGACAGGAAGAACUCCAACAGCUACUGAAUGUUCCUGUGGUUCCCUCAAGGCUACAGGAGGAGCCCUACGAGGACGAGCCGGUCCACCUGAUGGCGGCCAGUCGCUGCGGUUCAAAGCCAACACCGACUACGUGGACUUCUACUGGACCACACGGAGGCCUUCAAACCGGACCAACAAGUUCAGCGACUCCCCGACUCGUGGGUCUGAGGACGCCGCCGAGCCUCGGCCCAGCCGGCCUCCUGUCUGUGGGUGUUUGAGUGCUGAGAGGUUUGUGGAUGCAUGUGAACAUGUCUGUGUUGAAACAGCAGCUUUGGACUCAGUAACGCCGGGAAAAACCAAGAGCUCCUUUAUUUGUGACUUCCACU